rnacentral:rRNA from 1 species
AGCGAACGCUGGCGGCUUGCUUAACACAUGCAAGUCGCGCGGUCAGCAAUGGCAGCGGCGGACGGGUGAGUAACGCGUAGGAAUGUGUCUAGAGGUGGGGGACAACCCUGGGAAACUGGGGCUAAUACCGCAUAUGUCCUGAGGGACAAAGCCGCGAUGCGCCUUUAGAGCAGCCUGCGUCCGACUAGGUAGUUGGUGGGGUAAUGGCCUACCAAGCCUGCGAUCGGUAGCUGGUCUGAGAGGACGACCAGCCACACUGGGACUGAGACACGGCCCAGACUCCUACGGGAGGCAGCAGUGGGGAAGAUUGGACACUGGGCGCAAGCCUGAUCCAGCAAUGCCGCGUGUGUGAAGAAGGUCUUCGGAUUGUAAAGCACUUUCGACGGGGACGAUGAUGACGGUACCCGUAGAAGAAGCCCCGGCUAACUUCGUGCCAGCAGCCGCGGUAACAC